AGCAGCCGCGGUAAUUCCAGCUCCAAUAGCGUAUAUUAAAGUUGUUGCAGUUAAAAAGCUCGUAGUUGAACCUUAGGCCCGUGCGGGCGGUCCGUCCUCUGGGCGAGCACUGCCUCGUCGCGGGUCUCACCUUCUGGCGAGCGUGGAUGCCAUUCAUUUGGUGUCCUUGGGAACCAGGACCUUUACCUUGAAAAAUUAGAGUGCUCAAAGCGGGCUCUUACGCUUGAAUACAUUAGCAUGGAAUAAUGAAAUAGGACGACGGUUCUAUUUUGUUGGUUUCCGGGAUUGUCGUAAUGAUUAAUAGGGAUAGUUGGGGGCAUUCGUAUUCAAUUGUCAGAGGUGAAAUUCUUGGAUUUAUUGAAGACGGACUACUG
rnacentral:rRNA from 1 species